rnacentral:lncRNA from 1 species
CAAAUUGCAAAAAGGAAAAAAUACAAGGAAUUUUAAAUUAAAAGUAAAAACAUGGAAGAAAUCCUACAAAAAAAAAAGUUCUUGGCAAACUCUGAAAGUUGCUGGAGAUAUGUGUGUACCAUAUGCAAAACCUGAAAAGUAAUUGUUCCCGCCAGAUGCAUAUGUUGUGUAACCGUCUUCAACUGUCUUAACCAUCGAUCUUAACAUUGUUUCAACUGCUCUAUUUCACUUCGAUAAACCUCAUUGAACUAAAUACCUUUCUCCUAUUGAUAACUUUAUUUCAACAAAAAUUCAUCAUGCUUGACAAGACUUAUCAUAUUUAAUAUUUGACGCUAAUUACACCAUCGUCAAUUUAUAAUUUAUUUUAUUCAACUAACAGCAACAUAAUACAAUUUUAAAAUUAAAGUUUGAUAAUUUAAUUUUUGAAAGUCAGAUUGAAUUUCUCUUUGAUGUUUUAGGGUGGGUACCCCAACUGAUCAUGAAAAUAUUAUAACGUUAACUAUAUAGCUAGUUGAUAUAAUAGUAGCAAAUUCUGCUUAAGGGUGAUCUCUAAACAUAAUCAACUCAAUCCCCCUCCUGUAGGCCUAUGUUCAAUUGCUUUUGUUCACGAGUAAAAUACGUUUUCAAGCUUGUAAUGGUUGCAACUUUCCCAAAAAAAAAAAGUAUUUGGUAAAAACUAUAAUUGUAUCUAUAUAUGAAGUUGAUAAUUGUAUUGAAAACUAUUAGAUAAUAAUUUAAUCAAAUAUAUCAAAUCAUCUAAUGAUGCUGAACUAUUAACUUUAUAUGAAGAUAAUUGUAUGUAAAUUUUUUAUCUUGUAGAACUCUUUUUUAAUAAUUUCUUAUCUUUAUUCUUGAACUAACUAAAAUAUAUAACUAAUGUAGUUGAAAUUAAAUUGAGAUUCUUACAUACCAAAGAAUGGAUGAUACCAUCUGUUCUGGCCCGGCCUAACUAACACAAUGUCCCGACCCGGACGGCUGACUUGGCGGGCGCGUGACACCCAAACCAAAGGGAGCAUCCGGAUACUUCUUCUCCCAACAGCAAAGCACAUGACAGCUGGGAAGGAAAAAUUUUCUGGAAGGCAGCUCUGCCCCUAUGGAACCCGCCCUAGGCAUGGAAUAUAUAAGUGGAGGACCCUACUCCUCUCCCACGGUAUGUCACUAUCCCCUCACUCUUACUACCAUCUGUACGGAUUCUGACUUGAGCAUCGGAGUCCAUUUUGCAGGUGGCUCCCCUUUACACCACGACAGCUUGAGAGGUCGCGAAACUUCAACGAUCCAUCCUUAGACACGAACCUAGGAGGUAGAUCCUUUUCCCAUCAGCCUAGGACCAGAUUCCCUUCAUUCCUUGUAACCAUUCCAUUCAUCCGACCCGUUUGGUACUCGACAAACCGAACACCAUCUUUGCCAAGACUAUUGAAUUGCAAAUUAAAUAUGCAAUUACUUUUUGGAGAGUGUUAUUCGGAACUGAAAAAAAAAGAUGAAUAAUGUUCUGAUGGAGUGAGGUUUGUUCAACGUCUAAUUAUUUAUGCUUUUGUGUCUUAUUCUGUUAAUUCAUAUUUCAUAAUAUUAUUAGUAAUUUAGAAGGAGAUGAGGAUGCAAAAGUAAAAUAACAAAAUAAAAUUAAGAAAUUGUUACGUAAAAUUUUAAAGCAAUAGGUUUUUCUUUUUUCUCUUUCACUUCUGUCCAAAAUCUCAACUUGGAAACUAACUCUCGAAAAGA